rnacentral:lncRNA from 1 species
UGCAUCAGCCCUGAUAGCAAUUGCACAAGCCAUUGCGUGCACGACGGAAGUUGGAAGUGUUGAACUGCUUUAUACUAUUUUAAUAUCAGGUUAAUUUAAAAGAAGUACAUUGAAAUCAGGUAAAACGUUAUUUCACUCCUAUCCUACUGUUUAUAGUGUAGUAGUGGCAUCUUAGCCUUUCUUUAUAUGUGAUAUGAAACUCCGUUAGUCCGAUGGAAUUAAGGUAUCAGUUUACCGUCGCCUAAAAUUUCAAAAGUUGAUGCGGAUUUUUUUCAUUAUUCAUUAUUUUUCACGAUUUGAAUUUGUCAAAUUUUGAGCUAAAAAUCCGAAUUUCGACCGAAAAAGUUCCAAGAAAAUUUUGACGAUUCUUGAGCUUUUUGCUAGCUUCCGAGCUAUCAGCUGUCUUUGACUCUACGUUUCGCUUGGCUGACUAUAAACUGUAUAAACAAAGUCAAUGACAGUGUUCCAAUAAUUUCAACAGAAAGCCAUUUUUGAAACACUUGCUAUACAAGUUUUACAAAUAAUGAAAAAUAUUGAAAUAAUGAAAAUUUCACGCGGGCUGCCAAUAACACACGGUAAACUGAUACGCCAAUCCCAUCGUGUGUACUGUGUAAGACACGUGUACAAUGUCUUGCUUCGUUGCCAGGCUGUUGUGUAUGUUGCUGAUUUAUGUUGUUUCUCGGACUCAUUUCUAAGUUGGAAGUAUUGCAUGCUAUCAAGGCUAGCCUAUAAAAAAGUAUAAUGAUUAAAUGUAAAUAUUAAGCAAGGGUUUUACCCUGCAAGCAAAGCCUGAUUUCUUCCGGGAAAGUGAAGGGCAGUAGAAAGUUUAAGCUUCGCUUUAUACGACAAACGGCAGGCAAAUAAAAAUUUUACGGUAUCAGGCAAUAAAGUGUAAAUGAACUUGCUGUUUUAAAACACGAAAUACAUAAUUAUUCUUUCGACACAAGAAACGUUCAACGAAAACGUUCAACAAAAAUUUUGCCAAGAAAAUUCGAACCUGCCUUUUGCCGUUCCCGGAAAUGUGAAGCUUAAACUCCCUAAUGCUUCUACAAACACAUUCAAAAGUAGGUACGCGACGCGUACAUGUAUCUACGAAAAAACUUGAUUCACAUUUUGUAUUUUCUUGAAAAGGAACUGAAUAAUGAAGAUGACAUGGGGCAAUUGAAAUAUUUCAUCACUUAUUAUAUAAUAGCGAAUAAGAUUUUAAAGUCGAACAUAAUAGACAUGUCUAAUAUUAGAUGUGUCUAAUAGGGCUGUCACAGUGCGGAGGGCGACAGGGGCAACUGCUGCCGAGAAAAUUUAACUAAUUUUAUGUGAAUUUAUGUGGUGUUUCCACAAACAAAACUAUUAUAAUUUUAUGUGAUUAUAAUGAUUGUAACAGAUUAUGCAGUCAGGAAAUAAAAAUUUCAUGCAAACAAUAUUCGAAGUGCCUAUACAAGUCGGCAUGCAGCUGGUUAUUUAGUAAUCUGUCACUUGUCAAUCCCCAUACUCGUUAAAUUUUCAAAACUUUAUUGUAAUCAUAUGAAGCAAACGUUCUGUCACUUGUUGUUUACACUUGGCAAUGCUAACUAUUGAGUAACAUACACUUGUAAAGUAUUCGAGGAACAUGCAUUACUGUAGAAAUGAGUCAAUCAUAUAUCGACUAGACCACUGAAUAGUAGAGAAUGUUUUAAAGGUCAUGAUUGAAGUAUAUAAUUCAAUUCCAAUCCUGUGCACAGUUAAUGAUAUACCACACUGUUCGGUUUAACCACAGCAUAUCCACACAAAAACAAUUUGUGUUGUGGGAGAAUAUCUGUUUGAGUAGAAGGUAUCACAAGUUUAGUUUUGUAAAUAUAUUGUGUGCCAUUGAUCUGAUCCAUCCAUAUAAUUAUUAAAUGUAUUAUUGUAGCUGUUAAGUUAUUUUCCAUACUAAUGAAUUUAGGUAAGAUUGUCUUGCAACUGCAAGUGGCCAUUGUUCUGACAAAAUUAUCCAGACAUUAAUAUCCAGUCCAUUUAUUCAUUCUUGUAUCAGUCUCUAAACAAAAACAUUUAUGUUAGGGAGCAGUCAUUAUUAAUGCCUUUCUUCACUUAAAAUAUUUCAAAUAUGUAAUACCAAAACCAAAACAUUCUAUUUUAAUUGUUCUAUUUUAUACAAAUUCUAUUAUUUAUUAUUAGUUAUACUUUUUAACUUUUGUGAAUUUUAUUAUUUGAACAAUAGUACUAGAUGAAAUUCAGCACUAUAAUGCCUACAAUAUAAAGGUGAUUUUUGAGAAUUACAUUAUUCCCACAUAUUUUGUUUAUUGAUGUUGUGCUGCAAGUUACUUUAUAAUAGUACCAUGCAAUUCACUUGCACAGAUUACACAAUUUGAAAAAUGGCAAUAAGCAUUUUGAAACCAGACUGCCACCAAAAUUUCAAAAGCUGUCAGUGGGGUGUGGAGGAGGGGCAUGCCCCAAGGCUUGCACUUAACCAACAUUCACAUGCACGGUCCUGGGCAGAACCCUGAUUAGGUGUUGGUGUGCAUUGCAAUUCACAGCAAGACGUUUCUGUACUUUGAAAAAUAUUUUACGACAGUGUGGGCAUGUGGCCAUUGUAAUCCUCGCAUAGUAGGUGAUUUUGGGGCACGAAAGUCUGUCAAAACGCAACAUUGAAUUAAUUGGCUGUCGGCCUGUAAAUCACUUUUCAUAUUUCAUUUAAUGUUCUGAACAAUAUUACCCUGGAUUCCAGAGCCUUCGACAGUAAAUAAUAAAUUGAAAUGUCGCGAAGGCUCUGGUUCAACGGGGCGAUUCUUUGAUUAAACCGCGCCAAACACAAAACAGAAUUAGUGGUUUUAGUACAGAAUCCAGUGUAGAACAAUAUGUGAAAAUUGCAGAAUUUACGUGAAAUGCAUCGGGAGAAAAGCUUGGUUGCUAAAUGUCACCCCUCUCAACUUCAAAAUACAAACAUUUCUGAAGCUGAAGCAGAAAUGUGUUGGACUUUCAUGGUUGCCCAUGUUGUUUCCCAAUUACAUACUCUGUCUUGAAGGUAUCCAUUUUUCGUCGUAUGGAAUUGAAAAUGAACAAGAUGGCUAAAUUUCUGCAUGUCGAAUCUUCUCCAGAACGCAGGAACAUGAUGUUAUUAUUUCAGAAACUAUAGAUAUUGAAAUUUUUCAGGGAAGCACAUGCCAACUAAAACAUCCCACCACCUAUUGUAUAAUGGCCAUGUUGCCCCUUUCCAUUACAAUUUUGAUAUUACGAUCAAACAACCUUCAUACAAUAUUACAGUUACUCCAUGUGAACGUGUGCAUAUAGUGAGGGUUCAGAGCAAGUGCCUUUCACCUGUGGCGGACACUUCACGAAAUAUUGGGGGGGGGGGGUCAACAUGCAUGUCAAAUGGGGUUUCGGUGUCCGUUUAAGGCUCUAAAUUAUGCGAAUCGUUCAGAACAUAGAUCACUUGAUGAAAUGAAUAAAGAGUACCGAGUUAUGCCAUUUGACUGACAUUAGAUACUUUUUCUAAGAUAAUUAAUUAUGUCCAUUAGUGUUGUUUAAUGUACAGUCAUAACUAUCAAUUCUAUAAAUGGUUUAAAUAUUUUUAUCAGUAGAGCUGCAAGGAAUCCUGCACAGAACAAAACAGAUUGUAUAAAAUGCGUAUGUUGCGGCAUCAUUGGCAAUCAUUGCACAGUAUCAUAUGCUUGCUAUAUGGCUAACUUAAUUAGCUUAAGUUUUAUUUAAUAGUCGUUAUUUAUAAUAUGACAAUUACGUUAUAUGGGUAUAAAUUGUAUGCUUGCCACUUGCUCCUAAACAAUGCUUGUGAAUUGUGAUAUUUGGUACCAGACUUUAAUAAGAGAUCGUUGGUUCGUUAAUUCUCUCGUUGCCCACUCAUGUGAAAAGAGUCAGUCAUUAACGCUUUGCCGAAAGUAGUGCACGUGGGCUUUCUCCGUGUACUCUUAUGUCUUCCCACAGGGAAAGUUGACAGGGCCCGGGUUAUGAUAAGCUUAGUAGGUAUAGUCAAGAAAGUAAGAUCACAAUUGUUGUAAAGAUAAAAUAGUCUAGGUUAAGUAUAUAAUUAGAUUAGCGCGUAAUACUUGAUAUCAUAUAGAAUUUGCGCAGCAGAAAUCUUAUUUUUCAUCCCUGUAAUGUUGUUUUAAAUAUCCGCGCUGCAGCGCUAGUUGUACUCCUUAUAUUCAUCAUAUUUUAAAACAAAUAUUUUACUGCACUCUAAUUUAAUUUCGCCAGCAAACUGUUAUGAGUAUAAGGGUAAUAUGGCAUGGCAAAAGUCCAGAGCGUGCGAUAUUCAAGAAAACUAGGUGUAUCCUAGGAAUUUGCCAGUUUGGUUGGGGCGGGGCGAAGCUACGACUGGACGAAUUUUUUCAAUGUAAAGUCGAGAGUAACUAAUAAUUGAUAUAAUGGAAAAUUGUUUAUUGUGGAGUGGGGAUUGAAUUAGUGCUACCUUGUCCCAGGGCCACCAAGCAUGCAAAAAUGUUUGCCUCUAAUAAUGUUAAAUUACUAACCUGACUAAAUAAACCAUUUAAUUUAGAUUUCUAAUUUUUUUUCCAAAGUGAAGCAACAUGUGUGGCAUUUGGGCAAUAUUUGGAACCUCCGAAGAUAUCUCGGAUUAUUUUAACUGCGCCUUAAAAAUUGCUCAUCGUGGUCCUGAUUGUUUUCGUCUAGAGAGCAUACCAAGUUUUGGUAACUCAUGUCUGGCCUUUCAUCGCCUUGCAGUUGUCGACAGCGUCUACGGAAUGCAACCGAUGCGAGUGUUUUCCCUUCCCCACCUCUAUGUUAUCUACAAUGGUGAGAUUUAUAACCACAAAGCAUUGGGAAAGCAGUAUGGCUUUAACUACCACACCAAGUGCGAUGGAGAAGUAAUUUUGCAUUUGUAUAACCAAUUUGGAGGUGAGAAAACGGCGCAAAUGUUGGACGGUGUUUUUGCGUUUGUUAUUGUAGAUACAACAAAGAAGGAAAUCCAUCUUGGCCGCGAUACUUUUGGCGUUCGACCGAUGUUUAUGCUAAAGACGGGAGAUCAAUGUUUAGCAAUCUGCUCUGAAGUCAAGGGUUUGUUGAAGUUGCAGAAAGAUUUGGAUGGUAUAAAAUCUGUUAUCGAGCCCUUUCGUCCCGGCCAUCAUGCAGGCUUAUCUUUCAACGAUGAUGGAGUGGCAACGAUAAAGAAGAUGGCGCCUUACACAAGCUUGACCAAGAUACCAGAAUUUGAUUUCUCGGUGAAAGUGAAAAGUGACAUUAAAGAGAACAUUCGAGCACUGUUUACUGAAGCCGUUCGUAAACGUCUCAUGUCUGAUCGACGCAUAGGUUGUCUUUUAUCUGGAGGUCUAGAUUCCAGUCUUGUUGCUGCUGUGUUAGUGAAACUUGCACGUGAAUCUGGUAUAUCUUAUCCCAUCCAGACGUUCUCUGUCGGAAUGACUGGAAGCACUGAUCUUGCCGCCGCCAGAAAGGUUGCUGACUUUCUGGAUACAGAACAUCACGAGUUGGUUUUCACUCCAGAAGAAGGUCUGGCUGCUAUCCCUGACGUCAUAGAGUAUUUAGAAAGUUAUGAUAUCACUACAGUAAGGGCUUCAGUUGGAAUGUAUUUAAUCAGUAAAUACAUUCGUGAGGAGACAGAUACUGUGGUAAUAUUCUCUGGUGAAGGUUCUGAUGAACUAGCACAGGGUUAUAUCUAUUUUCAUAAAGCCCCCUCUGCUGAAGAAGCUGAUGUUGAAUCGAAACGUCUCCUAGAAGACCUUUACCUCUACGAUGUCCUUCGCGGUGAUCGUUCUACUGCUGCCCAUGGCUUGGAAAUCCGUGUUCCAUUCCUCGAUGUUGCUUUCACAUCCUAUUUUCUCUCCUUAACACCCUCUAUACGUCAACCUCAUGAAAAAGUUGAAAAGUAUCUUCUGCGUUCUGCAUUUGACGAGGAAGGUUUACUUCCAAACGAAAUCCUUUGGCGGCCUAAAGAAGCUUUCAGUGAUGGCGUAUCAUCCACCAAAGCUGGCGAGUCUUGGUACGAGAUUAUCCAGAAGCAUUGUACGAAGAUCGUGAGUGAUAUUAAGUUGGAGACGGCAGCAGAGCGGUAUCCAUUCUGCACUCCCAAGACCAAGGAAGCGUAUUACUACCGCAAAAUCUUCGAGAAUAAAUAUCCUGGGCAGAGUCAUUUAAUUCCCUAUAUGUGGUUGCCCAAGUGGUCUGAAAGCCAAGAUCCGUCUGCACGUACCCUGGCUCAUUACACUCAGGAAUGAAGUGAGACUAGAACAUGAAACAGUAGUUUCCUAUCUUAAAUGGCUACUGAUUUAAACUUAUUUAUUUGUAUAUCUCGUUCUAGAGUUAAAAUUCGUUGUAAAUGUUAAUAUGAUAAGCAGAACAUUGGGACAAAUGGCACUGUAUUAUGCAUGUCUAAUAGUUGUUAAUAUCCAUUAAAGGGCUGUUUAUAUGUGGCGAGCUAGCUCAGCUGCUUUGUUUUGGCCCGUCUGAAUAGUCUCAUGUAAGAACAACUGAAGUUCGUCUCGGGAAAGCGAGUUAGCUCGGUCUAAAAACAGCCCUAAAGAAAGUGGUUUCUACCAUUAGGAUAAAGAUAAGUUGUACUGUCGUGAAUAAAACAGAUGGUUGUUUUGACUGCAAGUCUCACAACAUCGCAAACGAUCUAAAGUUCCUUGAAUGUCCCUUUCAGCCAUAAUCCCAUAAUAUUCUUAUUCUGAAUUUUUAAAACUCGAAUAUUCUGAUUUGUCUCCUUAAGUUUUUGUUGAUCCACUUCAUGGAGUCUGUUGUAACGAUGACCGUUCUCCUGAUCUCAUCUUUACAAUUAGCCCCAGAUCGAGGUUCAGCGGGAUAUCAACGCUAAAUGAGCCUGGGACUUACUGUGACCUUUUUGGAAAGCUCGUUCUGGGAAACGCGGAUUCAGCUCGAAAGUAAAAGCUAUGCAAAUUAAUGUAUUGUGUGAUAUUGUGCAACACACCAACUGUGCCAAGAUGUGAAAUUUUACCUUUCUUGGAGAUUAUUAUUAUGAUGAUUAUUAAAAAUACAUGCUCCCAAACUUACUUCGUUACUUGACACUACUGGCCUUAUGAGUUAUGUAAUGCUAAUAGUGUUAGUUUUCCCGGAAUUUAAUAAAUCAAGGCUCGAGUAUUUAAA